UACGUAGGGGGCUAGCGUUGUCCGGAAUCAUUGGGCGUAAAGCGCGUGUAGGCGGGUCCGGUAAGUCCGCUGUGAAAGUCGGGGGCUCAACCCUCGGAUGCCGGUGGAUACUGUCGGGCUUGAGUACGGAAGAGGCGAGUGGAAUUCCUGGUGUAGCGGGUGGAAUGCGCAGAUAUCAGGAAGAACACCCGUGGCGAAGGCGGCUCUCUGGAACGCAACUGACGCUGAGACGCGAAAGCGUGGGGGAGCAAACAGG
rnacentral:rRNA from 1 species